UACGUAGGGGGCGAGCGUUGUCCGGAAUUACUGGGCGUAAAGGGUGCGUAGGCGGUUUUUUAAGUCAGAUGUGAAAUCCCCGGGCUUAACUCGGGUGGUGCAUUUGAAACUGGGAGACUAGAGUGCAGGAGAGGGAAGCGGAAUUCCUAGUGUAGCGGUGAAAUGCGUAGAUAUUAGGAGGAACACCAGUGGCGAAGGCGGCUUUCUGGACUGUAACUGACGCUGAGGCACGAAAGCGUGGGGAGCAAACAGGAUUAGAUACCCUGGUAGUCCACGCUGUAAACGAUGGAUACUAGGUGUAGGGGGCGUAGAGCCUUCUGUGCCGCAGCAAACGCAAUAAGUAUCCCGCCUGGGGAGUACGGCCGCAAGGUUGAA
rnacentral:rRNA from 1 species